rnacentral:rRNA from 1 species
UUCCGGUUGAUCCUGCCGGAGGCUACCGCUAUUGGAGUUCGAUUAAGCCAUGCGAGUCGCGAGUCUUAGGGACUCGGUGUACCGCUCAGUAACACGUGGGUAACCUGCCCUAUGCUGGGGGAUAACCUCGGGAAACUGAGAAUAAUACCCCAUAGUUCACCACGCCUGGAACGGUGGGUGGAUGAAAGCUCCGGCGGCAUAGGAUGGGCCUGCGGCGUAUCAGGUUGUAGGGGGUGUAAUGUACCCUCUAGCCAUCUACGCGUACGGGUGUUGGGAGACAUCGCCCGGAGAUGGAUUCUGAGACACGAAUCCAGACCCUACGGGGUGCAGCAGGCGCGAAAACUUGGCAAUGCGAGCAAUCGUGACCAGGGAACUCCAAGUGCAUCGGGUAAGACCGAUGCUUUUCUUGACUCUUCAAAGGUCUUGGAAUAAGGGGUGGGUAAGGACGGUGCCAGCCGCCGCGGUAAUACCGGCGCCUCAAGUGGUAGUCGCUUUUAUUGGGCCUAAAACGUCCGUAGCCGGUUUGGUACAUUCGUGGGUAAAUCAAGGCGCUCAACGUCUUGAAUUCUGCGAGCACGGCCAGACUUGGGACCGGGUGAGGUGUGGGGUACUCUCAGGGUAGGGGUAAAAUCCUGUCAUCCUGAGAGGACCACCUGUUGCGAAGGCGCCACACUAGAACGGAUCCGACGGUCAGGGACGAAGCCUAGGGGCACGAACCGGAUUAGAUACCCGGGUAGUCCUAGGUGUAAACGCUGUGGACUUGAUGUUGGGAGUGCUCCGAGCACCCUCAGUGUCGAAGCGAAGGUGAUAAGUCCACUGCCUGGGGAGUACGGUCGCAAGGCUGAAACUUAAAGGAAUUGGCGGGGGAGCACUGCAACCUGAGGAUUGUGCGGUUUAAUUGGAUUCAACGCCGG